rnacentral:rRNA from 1 species
UACGUAGGGUGCGAGCGUUAAUCGGAAUUACUGGGCGUAAAGCGUGCGCAGGCGGUUCGUGAUGUCUGAUGUGAAAGCCCCGGGCUCAACCUGGGAACUGCAUUUGUGACUGGCGGGCUAGAGUAUGGCAGAGGGGGGGUAGAAUUCCACGUGUAGCAGUGAAAUGCGUAGAGAUGUGGAGGAAUACCGAUGGCGAAGGCAGCCCCCUGGGCCCAAUACUGACGCUCAUGCACGAAAGCGUGGGGAGCAAACAGG